CAAUAGCGUAUAUUAAAGUUGUUGCGGUUAAAAAGCUCGUAGUUGGAUUUCUGCUGAGAACGACCGGUCCGCCCUUUGGGUGUGUAUCUGGCUCUUUCUUGGCAUCUUCUUGGUGAACGUUGCUGCACUUGACUGUGUGGAGCGCUACCCAGGACUUUUACUUUGAGGAAAUUAGAGUGUUUCAAGCAGGCAUACGCCUUGAAUACAUUAGCAUGGAAUAAUAAGAUAGGACCUCGGUUCUAUUUUGUUGGUUUCUAGAGCUGAGGUAAUGAUUAAUAGGGAUAGUUGGGGGCAUUCGUAUUUAACUGUCAGAGGUGAAAUUCUAAGAUUCGUUGAGGACCAACCACUGCGAAAGCAUUUGUCAAGGAUGUCUCCAUUAA
rnacentral:rRNA from 1 species